GAAACUUUCCCCAAUAUUUCGGGAUUUCUUAAAUCGAUGUUUGGAAAUGGAUGUGGAAAAAAGGGGUUCAGCCAAAGAAUUAUUACAGCAUCCUUUCCUGAAACUGGCCAAACCGUUAUCUAGCUUGACACCACUGAUCAUGGCAGCUAAAGAAGCAAUGAAGAGUAACCGUUAACAUCACUGCUGUGGCCUCAUACUCUUUUUUCCAUUUUCUACAAGAAGCCUUUUAGUAUAUGAAAAUUAUUACUCUUUUUGGGGUUUAAAGAAAUGGUCUGCAUAACCUGAAUGAAAGAAGCAAAUGACUAUUCUCUGAAGACAACCAAGAGAAAAUUGCAAAAAGACAAGUAUGACUUUUAUAUGAACCCCUUCUUUAGGGUCCAGAAGGAAUUGUGGACUGAAUCACUAGCCUUAGGUCUUUCAGCAAACAGCCUAUCAGGGCCAUUUAUCAUGUGUGAGAUUUGCAUUUUACUUUGCUGACUUUGUUGUAAUAGAUCCCAUUCAUUGUCCCCUUUGGGGUAUUUCCAAUACUUGAAUGGCAGAUUGGAGUUUUUCAGAGUAUGUGUUUCAUCUGCUAGUCUUUCUCUCCUUCAUAGCUUUUCUUUUCCUGGACUUGCUCCUUUUGAGUUGCUUUUGCGUUUCUCAUGCCUAGGCAAGUGUAAUAGAAAUUAUGUAGCUCCUUAUGUUGGCAAAGGAGCUCUAUAUAGUUUCACUUUGUAUAAAAGUUAGGACCAGCUGUUGUUACAUGUAAUAUUUUAGUUCAGAACUUGACCUGAAGGAAGGGAAGAAAAGUAUGUGAUUUUUACCUUUUUUAACAAAUGUGAAAAAGUCAGUUUUAGAAAUUUCGUGGUAGUAAGUUCGGCAUUUGUUACAUGUAUAGAGAGAAGACUAAUAAUCUCUAUUUAUAACUAAAUCAUUGAGAUAGAAAAAGAUUCCCAUUGACUGUAGACUUCUUCCCAUUUUGUCUUCCCUUCUGCCUGUUUCCCCUUCAGGCUUGGCUCUAGGAACCAAAGUGAUUUGUUGUUGUUCCAACCUGGGCUUUGUGACUUUGGUUAGUGCCACUACCUUCUUCCCUCCUUUCCCCCUUCAAUUUGGAAAUAAAUUUCUGUAUAUGUUGC
rnacentral:lncRNA from 1 species